ACCUGCGCGGCCAUUUCACGGUCGGACAGGCCGCCGCAAAUCUGGAUGAUACGGUCAGACAGCGUCGAUUUACCGUGGUCGAUGUGGGCAAUAAUAGAAAAGUUACGUAUAUUCUUCAUAGUUAGAGGUUUUAUGCCUUACAAAUGGCCUGUGAGCUCGGCGCUUCGCGCUGUACGGAGCAGGAUGUCAGAGACUGUCUUCUGCCUGAAACGCCGCAUUCUACACUACAACCAGAAAGUGAGGAAACUGCUCAUCCUGCAAGCUUAGGUAAGCUAUAAGCAGGAUGUGCAAAGAGAUGUCAUUUGAAGGGAAUUUAUUGAUUUUCAGCCGGCGGCGUGGACGUAUCGACACGCAGUGCAUCCGGGCUAAGCGCAACGCUAAGGAUCACCGGCUGCCAGCUCUCUCGGCGGCUGAAAUACUGGGAAAAUCCGCGAGCAAGCAGAAAGCCUCCCACGCCACCGAGCAAGGCACCGCACAUGGCGGCCAGGUUGGUACCAAACAGCGUCUGGAACAGACCUGAGCACACAAAGAGCCCCACCAACGGCGACAUGUACACCAGCAGUGCAGAUCCUAACAGACUGCUUUCCGCAAUGCCCAGUUCCACUUUCUGCCCAACCUCCAGCGGCUGCUCGCUUGGAACAGACAGCAAAUGGCUGGUCUGCGGCCCCAGUUUGUUCAAUACACGGGUGCCACAUCCAGACCGCGAAGCGCAGCUGUUACAAGAGGCUUUAACAUCACAGUGCAGCAGCGCUUCACCGUUUUGCCAGGAGACGACUGUCGCCCACUCUUUGAUCAUUGUGUCGCUCCGUUGAACUUCACGCUAUCACCAAUGCGU
rnacentral:ncRNA from 1 species